rnacentral:rRNA from 1 species
GGGUUGUGAGGUUAAGCGACUAAGCGUACACGGUGGAUGCCCUGGCAGUCAGAGGCGAUGAAGGACGUGCUAAUCUGCGAUAAGCGUCGGUAAGGUGAUAUGAACCGUUAUAACCGGCGAUUUCCGAAUGGGGAAACCCAGUGUGAUUCGUCACACUAUCAUUAACUGAAUCCAUAGGUUAAUGAGGCGAACCGGGGGAACUGAAACAUCUAAGUACCCCGAGGAAAAGAAAUCAACCGAGAUUCCCCCAGUAGCGGCGAGCGAACGGGGAGGAGCCCAGAGCCUGAAUCAGUGUGUGUGUUAGUGGAAGCGUCUGGAAAGGCGCGCGAUACAGGGUGACAGCCCCGUACACAAAAAUGCACAUACUGUGAGCUCGAUGAGUAGGGCGGGACACGUGGUAUCCUGUCUGAAUAUGGGGGGACCAUCCUCCAAGGCUAAAUACUCCUGACUGACCGAUAGUGAAC